rfam:Stegodyphus mimosarum contig83103, whole genome shotgun sequence.
AAAAAGGCCCUCUUCAGGGCUACAAAUUAAAAAAAAUUCAGAACUAU